rfam:Lutibacter agarilyticus strain DSM 29150 genome assembly, contig: Ga0170404_103
UAUAUUUGCCGACCGGUAGCUGCAACUGCACUAACCAUACAUAAAAAUUAUUAAAUAAAUUAAUGUUAGCAUG